AACCUCCGCAAUGUGAGAAAUCGCGACGGGGGGAUCCCAAGUGCCAUUCUUAACGGGAUGGCUUUUCAUUAGUGUAAAGAGCUUUUGGAAUAAGGGCUGGGCAAGACCGGUGCCAGCCGCCGCGGUAACACCGGCAGCUCUAGUGGUAGCAGUUUUUAUUGGGCCUAAAGCGUCCGUAGCCGGUUUAAUAAGUCUCUGGUGAAAUCCUGUAGCUUAACUGUGGGAAUUGCUGGAGAUACUAUUAGACUUGAGACCGGGAGAGGUUAGAGGUACUCCCAGGGUAGAGGUGAAAUUCUGUAAUCCUGGGAGGACCGCCUGUUGCGAAGGCGUCUAACUGGAACGGUUCUGACGGUGAGGGACGAAAGUUAGGGGCGCGAAACCGGAUUAGAUACCCGGGUAGUCCUAACUGUAAACGAUGCGGACUUGGUGUUGGGGUGGCUUUGAGCUGCUUCAGUGCCGAAGGGAAGCUGUUAAGUCCGCCGCCUGGGAAGUACGGUCGCAAGGCUGAAAUUUAAAGGAAUU
rnacentral:rRNA from 1 species